AAAAAGGAGGCUGAUGUAAGGUAUGUCAAAUUAAACAUGAAGUGUCUGACCCAGGCUUAAAUUUCUAACAUUUCUGGUUUCAGACAAUCUUCUUUAGUGCAUAUGGUUUAUAAUGAGCUUCAUAGUGUACAAAUAUUAAAAAGUAACAAGUGGAAAUUAGCUGUUUUAUUACCUUUUACUUAGACAUGAUUUCCAUAACAUUGAUUCAUUCAACUUAGAGAAAAAUGGUGUCUGCUACAUUAGAGCAGAAACUGGCCAAUGCCAUUGCCAUAGAUUCCGUGGAGGGUGUCAGAACACUUGGCACUAAUUCCUUUGUACUUAUGUUCUGCCUGUACGUUAUAUAAUUCCAAGGACAUCUCUUUGAUUAUCAUGAGCCCUUUCAUCCCAGUUUUACUGGAUUAACAGUAUGACUUCAGCCUCAAAUCCUCAUGCGGUUCAGUUGUCAUUAGCACAGUUUCCCAACUGUUGCAGAUAUUCCUGGAAUUGGUCACUAAAUUCUGAAUGUGCCAAUCUGCAGGUACAAGGUAGGAGAUAUGGGCGUGCAGCAAGCAGAGCCUCGUUUGGAGCCCAAGAAGCACAGAAGACAGUCUCGCAAAAGGAUCAACCAAUCAAUCCUGGAUGAGUUGGAUGAACUGGAUG
rnacentral:misc_RNA from 1 species